rnacentral:rRNA from 1 species
UACAGAGGGUGCGAGCGUUGUCCGGAAUCACUGGGCGUAAAGGGUGCGUAGGCGGUGGGGUAAGUUUGAGGUGAAAGCUCCGGGCUCAACCCCGAAACUGCACUUGAUACUGCCUUGCUCGAGUACUGGAGAGGAGAUUGGAAUUUACGGUGUAGCAGUGAAAUGCGUAGAUAUCGUAAGGAAGACCAGUGGCGAAGGCGAAUCUCUGGACAGUUACUGACACUGAGGCACGAAGGCCAGGGGAGCAAACGGG